UAAACUGGAAAAGUCUAUAGCUCAUAACAGAUAAUGACUUGUACCUUUAGUGUCUUAAAGCUGGGCACCUUUAUGUCAUAAAUGAUUCCUUGUCUAGCAAUAAUGGUGUGUAACAUGCUCUCAGGGAGAAAAAUGAGGAGAAGAGGAAGGAAAUAAACCACGGUGCCAUUUGACUAAAAAUGCAGAAGUAUUCACUGGAUGUUGCAGUGUCCAGUGGGUCUGAGCCAUUCUGGGAUCUCCCUCAGUAGCUGGCAAACAAACAAAACCCCCUCACUGGGCUGGGCAUGGGCCAUUUCCAGCACACAGGUGGUUCUUUGACCUUUCAAAAGCUUUGGUUACCUGUGCACAUCCUGAGGUGCUCUCAUCACUCUCCCCUGCUCUGUGCCUCAAAUAGACAAAGUAUAUUAAACCAGAGAGAAACUACCUCUAAUCACAGCUGCACAAGAACCUUACACAACACACCUAAGCAUAAACUUAAAAGUGACUGGUGUGAAUCCUGCCCUGGUAUAAGCAAAACCACAGGAGGAAACCAAACAUCUGGGCCCCAUGCCGUGUGAAUCUUUGUGCAUGUGUUAUUCCAGGCAAUCCUUACAAUUAGAGAUCUGACAGAAACUCAGGGCAAUGCACGCACUCCUGCGUCGCAGCAGUGGAACAGAUUGAGGGAAAAAAAACACCCCAAAAGGUUCUUCCACACAAAACUCAGCAGUGACCCUGGCAUAUGCAUUGCCUUGAUGUUUCCUGCACACUGCAGACCUCAAACCAAAGCUAGCUCAGCCUCCACAGAGCUGGGGCAGUGCCCAGAACCAGGUUCCAAUACUCUCCUCUGGUCUGUCUGGGGACAGUUACUCUCUCUAACUUUUGUGUUGCCAGGGCAAAGCCUCGGGACCUUCCCACUGCAGCUAUUUGUGGUCUCUAUUAGAAUCACAGAACCAUAAAAUGGUUCAUGUUGGAAGGGCCCUUAAAAUCAUCAAUUCCAAUCCCCUUCCACUAAACCAGGUUGCUUCAAGCCUAUCCAGCCUGGCCUUGAACACUUCCAGGGAUGGGGCAGAGUUUUGUGAAGGAUCCUCAAUGAAAGAAUCCCUUCUUCUCUCACACCAGCACUUUAUGCUCAACAAACAGGCUUGACCAUAGACAUGGCUGCACUUUUGGACUGAAGCUGCAGGUUUAAAACACUGCAUGCCUUUCAUUCUACAUGGUAUUUUCUUUUAUUCUUUUUUAACUUAGCAAAUGCCAUGGUGCACACUCAGUUUUGAUUUUAAUAGCUAAAGAUAUGCACGCAAAAAGCAUCCUAAUUACUGCUUUCCUGGCAGACGCAGCCAUUUCCUUGGGUUUUUAUUGCCAUUAGUUUUCCUCACCGAUUUAUCCUUAGCUACUCUCUUUGCAUCUCCCUCGCCUCCCCUGAGCCCUUUCCUCCUCGCUUCUCAAGACUUGUCAGCACGCCUCCGAUCCCCAGGAGAGAUUGAAGGCCUUGUAAAACCCACUGCGCAAACAAGCAUUCCUGUUCAUUUAUCACAUUUAGCAUGCGCACUUCCACACUCAUCAAAACCAAGCCUGAGCUCGCUAAGUCAUUUCCCUCUCCCAAUUACAAAUUAGUCCAUUAGGCUGUCUGCAGUAGGCCCUCUGUUGCAUCUUGGUAAUGGCUUCUGAGAUUUCCAUCAUAAUCGUAAUGGCUCCCUGUGCAGCCAUGAGGGCAGAUGGAGGCCGCUCGUGGGUAAUGAGGUAUCACACUACCAAAGGGCACAGCUCUGGGCUCAUUAUUUAGUCUUGGCUGUUUUGUGAAAACAACAACAAAGAGGAAGAUGACAGCAGGGAAAAGUUGGUGAGAGUUAUCACCGCACACGUUCAGAAGUUACAGAGAUAAAGGACAAGCCCCUUGUUGUGCCUGUGACAACAACAACAGAGAGAGUCCCUGCUGGGGGCCACGUGCUGGAGCCUGGCACAUCGUCCUUGCCUCAAAGAGAAUACAGGAUCAACAGGAAAGGGAGAUAAAGGAAGGAUCACAAUCCUAUCUGCACAUGGAAACUGUGGCGUGGAGAGAUGUGAUUCUUUGCCCAGUAUCACAAAGCUGCUCUACAUCAAAAUCAAGUGGUGCACCUAAUUCUCCAAAGUCCUAGUUAAGUGCCUUAAUCAAAAACUGCUUCAGGGCCUAGAGAGAAUUGUCCUGUAUAUUAAUUAUCCUUUACAUUUCAAGAGUCGCUAGGAAAGUGUUCUUGUUUUUACUCCAAGGCCAACUUCCAAAGGGUCCCACUUAAUAAAACAGUCAAAACUUCA